rnacentral:lncRNA from 1 species
CUUGCAUCAACAUGAUGAUUUUUACGCGUGUAGUUGGCAAAGCUAAAUAAAUAAAUAAGUCUCUCGCUCCGCCCCUCCGUACUACGUCAUGUAAUAUACAUUAUAGUGGAUCGAUACUAUAUGACGAUGAAAGAGAGACUUGGAGCACGUCUAUCCAAUUCUACGAUGUAGAUGCUCAUCUAUAAGCAUAACACAGAUGGACGACAGGAUGGCAAAGACCGUGACCUUACCCUCUCUCCACUCAACUCCAGAGUGCACACGUAUACUACUAUCGAAUUACUAUACGUUUUACCCCACUACGUUUUUUCUGUCGAUCUUGUCUCGCUUCUUUGAACCAUAGAU